UUUCAUAAUGAACUAUAAUUUAACUUAUACAAGUGAGUAUUAUGCAUUACAGAUCACUAUCCAUGAUUUGAGGGUAGGUAGCUACGUUGCGCCUUCUGUGAACAAACAUGUAAAAGGUUUUCAUAGAUCAACAGAUGGCGAAAUCUAGCAGAGCUAUUCAACCGAUGAUUUGAUGUUAAUUACACAAAAUUUACAAGUUGAGCUAAAAAAAACAAUACUUGAAAGUUACAAAAUAGCAAAAUACAAAGAAAAGGAAACAAGUCGAAGUUACAAGAACCACAACAUUAAAACUAUGAGACAAUCUCUUGUAAUAAUAAAAACUUCAGUACAA